rnacentral:rRNA from 1 species
GACCAGACUCCUACGGGAGGCAGCAGUGGGGAAUAUUGCACAAUGGGGGAAACCCUGAUGCAGCGACGCCGCGUGGGCGAUGGAGUGCUUCGGCACGUAAAGCCCUGUCAGCAGGGAAGAAAAUGACGGUACCUGACUAAGAAGCCCCGGCUAAAUACGUGCCAGCAGCCGCGGUAAUACGUAUGGGGCAAGCGUUAUCCGGAUUUACUGGGUGUAAAGGGAGCGUAGGCGGCCUGGCAAGCCUGAUGUGAAAUGCCGGGGCCCAACCCCGGGGCUGCAUUGGGAACUGCCAGGCUGGAGUGCCGGAGAGGCAGGCGGAAUUCCUAGUGUAGCGGUGAAAUGCGUAGAUAUUAGGAGGAACACCAGUGGCGAAGGCGGCCUGCUGGACGGUGACUAACGCUGAGGCUCGACAGCGUGGGGAGCAAACAGGAUUAGAUCCCCUAGUA